rnacentral:rRNA from 1 species
AUUGAACGCUGGCGGCAGGCUUAACACAUGCAAGUCGAGCGGAGAUGAGGUGCUUGCACCUUAUCUUAGCGGCGGACGGGUGAGUAAUGCUUAGGAAUCUGCCUAUUAGUGGGGGACAACAUUCCGAAAGGAAUGCUAAUACCGCAUACGUCCUACGGGAGAAAGCAGGGGAUCUUCGGACCUUGCGCUAAUAGAUGAGCCUAAGUCGGAUUAGCUAGUUGGUGGGGGAAAGGCCUACCAAGGCGACGAUCUGUAGCGGGUCUGAGAGGAUGAAACGCCAAAAUGGGAAUGAGACACGGCCCAGAGUCCUACGGGAGGCAGCAGUGGGGAAUAUUGGACAAUGGGGGGAACCCUGAUCCAGCCAUGCCGCGUGUGUGAAGAAGGCCUUAUGGUUGUAAAGCACUUUAAGCGAGGAGGAGGCUACUGAGACUAAUACUCUUGGAUAGUGGACGUUACUCGCAGAAUAAGCACCGGCUAACUCUGUGCCAGCCGCCGCAGUAA